rnacentral:rRNA from 1 species
CCUACGGGGGGCAGCAGUGAGGAAUAUUGGUCAAUGGGCGCAAGUCUGAACCAGCCAUGCCGCGUGCAGGCAGACGGCUCUAUGAGUUGUAAACUGCUUUUGUACGAGGGUAAACGCAGAUACGCGUAUCUGUCUGAAAGUAUCGUACGAAUAAGGAUCGGCUAACUCCGUGCCAGCAGCCGCGGUAAUACGGAGGAUUCAAGCGUUAUCCGGAUUUAUUGGGUUUAAAGGGUGCGUAGGCGGUCGGAUAAGUUAGAGGUGAAAUCCCGAGGCUCAACUUCGGAAUUGCCUCUGAUACUGUUCGGCGAGAGAGUAGUUGCGGUAGGCGGAAUGUAUGGUGUAGCGGUGAAAUGCUUAGAGAUCAUACAGAACACCGAUUGCGAAGGCAGCUUACCAAGCUACUUCUGACGUUGAGGCACGAAAGCGUGGGGAGCAAACAGGAUUAGAUACCCUUGUAGUC